ACGACAUAGUAUGUACGUUAUCCAAAUUUUAGUGUUGCUUGUCAUUGUGAUUUUCGUGAUUGGUGAUAUAAUCUAUAAGGAAACCAGCCCACUUCCCACUAACAUGUCGAACUCAUCUCUUAAGGAUGUUAAGCGAGUGAAGAGGGAAUUCUUCAACAUGCGACCUGCUCAAUAUAUGCGCAAAAAAAAGGGGAAAGGGGGAAGUUGGUACAAGUGGAAGCCGAAAAGAAGACGACGUCGUAAUCGUGGUGGUAGAAGUAAUACUAGAGGCUUAACUAAUAGUGAAAAUGUUUUAAGUAUUCCGUUCGUGAUAUAUUUUAUGUUAUUUGGACUAUUAUAAAAAUAUAUAACGUUUUACUACUCA